AUCACUUCUCGGCCUUUUGGCUAAGAUCAAGUGUAGUAUUCACCUUGGUAUUUUGUUAAGUCUUUAAAGAAACCAC
rnacentral:snRNA from 1 species